GUUGAAAAGAACUUUGAAGAGAGAGUUCAAAAGGGCGUGAAACCGCUUAGAAUAAAACGGACGGAGCCGUCAGGAGCUUUCGAGACUCAGUCGACUUAGUAAGCGAAAGUGCGCGCGUUCGGAGAGCAUAAAUAAGUCUCCGUCGUCGUAUCUAGUAUGCUGAUAGUCGGCGCAUUUCUCGAGAGUAAGCAUCGCAACCGAUACGAAAGGCUAGCGAGGCGUUCGGAUUGAGGUCUAAUAUCUUCGGUUAAACGGAGACGUUAGUUGCCAGUCCGUUCGCGCUUUAAUCGCUAGAUCGCAGUAUGUAUCGAGCGCCAAUAAAAAAUACGUUGACCAUAAAGGUUCGUCCGAGCGACGGAUAGUCGGUUAGUUCCCAAAUGGUUGGUUACCUGCUCGCAGGUGCUAGCUAACUUAAUCGACUCUAGAAAUCGUCGGCGACACAUUAACGUAUAGGCGUUAGCGGUGUCAGCGUCGGUCACCCGUCCGACCCGUCUUGAAACACGGACCAAGGAGUCUAACAUAUGCGCGAGUCAAUAGGUGGAAAACCUAAAGGCGCAAUAAAAGUAAAGAUCGUUCUUGAACGGUUAAGGUACGAUCCCGGAUCUUCCUUAAAACAAGAUACGGGCGCAGUACCGUCUCGUCCCUAAGGCACGUCCUAAGGGCGAAGAUAGAGCGCAUACGUUGGGACCCGAAAGAUGGUGAACUAUGCCUGAGCAGAGCGAAGCCAGAGGAAACUCUGGUGGAGGUUCGUAGCGGUUCUGACGUGCAAAUCGAUCGUCAGACUUGGGUAUA
rnacentral:rRNA from 1 species